GACGAACGCUGGCGGCGUGCCUAAUACAUGCAAGUUGAGCGCUGAAGGUUGGUACUUGUACCGACUGGAUGAGCAGCGAACGGGUGAGUAACGCGUGGGGAAUCUGCCUUUGAGCGGGGGACAACAUUUGGAAACGAAUGCUAAUACCGCAUAAAAACUUUAAACACAAGUUUUAAGUUUGAAAGAUGCAAUUGCAUCACUCAAAGAUGAUCCCGCGUUGUAUUAGCUAGUUGGUGAGGUAAAGGCUCACCAAGGCGAUGAUACAUAGCCGACCUGAGAGGGGGAUGGGCACAUUGGGACUGAGACACGGCCCAAACUCCUACGGGAGGCAGCAGUAGGGAAUCUUCGGCAAUGGACGAAAGUCUGACCGAGCAACGCCGCGUGAGUGAAGAAGGUUUUCGGAUCGUAAAACUCUGUUGGUAGAGAAGAACGUUGGUGAGAGUGGAAAGCUCAUCAAGUGACGGUAACUACCCAGAAAGGGACGGCUAACUACGUG
rnacentral:rRNA from 1 species